rnacentral:lncRNA from 1 species
AUGACUUCAAGAACUUUUCCUGUAUAACAGAAAUUCUGUGUAGUAAAGUUGUUGGGAUUAAUGAAUUUGUACAUUGCCAUUUUAGAAAUGCUUGAAAUUUAGACACUGGCUUAAUGAAAAUACUUUAAUGUUGGCAUCUGGAACACAAAACAUUUAGUUUUGAUAUAGUUAUGAACUAAUCUUAUAGUUAAGUCUUUCUUGAAUGGUCUUAAAGUUGAACUUUAGGAAGUGUACACACACAUCUCUCAAAUUAAGGUAAAGGAUAUAUCUUACUAUUUCUGUAUUCCCCAAAGUACCAGCAUAUAGUAAAACCUCAAACUCUGAAAUUAAACAGAAAGCAAAAACACUAUGAUAUAACUUUAAAAUUAAGGUUUAUAUCACUUUGAGCAAAAUAUGAAAUUGCUUUUAAAAUCAGUGUGACUAGGCCAGGAGCAGUGGCUCAUGCCUGUAAUCCCAGCAUUUCGCAAGGCUGACGCGGGCAGAUCACCUGAGGUCAGGAGAUUGAGACCAGCCUGGCCAACAUGGUGAA